AAGAAUGACACAUGCACUUAAAAUUAAAAUUUCAGAGGAAAACCUGCUAUAAUUCUCUAGGUAUCAAGGAAGAAUCAGAUUACUUACCGCAGGCCCCCCCUCCAAAAAACAAAAAAGAGAAAAAAAGAGAAGAGAGAGAGCAAAAUUGUUUUAGAUAAUAAAUUCUAUAAACUUUUGUUGUUUUUAUAGUAAAUCUGACUAU
rnacentral:lncRNA from 1 species